GAUGAAGAACGUAGCGAAAUGCGAUAAGUAAUGUGGAUUGCAGAAUUCAGUGAAUCAUCGAAUCUUUGAACGCAACUUGCGCUCUCUGGUAUUCCGGAGAGCAUGCCUGUUUGAGUAUCAUGAAAUCUCAACCAUUAGGGUUUCUUAAUGGCUUGGAAUUGGGUGUUGCCAGUCGCCUGGCUCGCCUUAAAAGAGUUAGCGUGUUUAACUUGUCUAUCUGGCGUAAUAAGUUUCGCUGGUAUCGGCUUGAGAAGUACGCUUCUAAUCGUCUUCGGACAAUUCUUGAACUCUGGUCUCAAAUCAGGUAGGGCUACCCGCUGAACUUAAGCAUAUCAAUAAGCGGAGGA
rnacentral:misc_RNA from 1 species